CCCUUAGAUGUCCUGGGCCGCACGCGCGCUACACUGAACGGAUCAGCGCGUUUUCCCUUCCCGAGAGGGACGGGUAACCUGCUGAACCCCGUUCGUGGUAGGGAUCGGGGCUUGCAAUUAUUCCCCGUGAACCAGGAAUGCCCAGUAAGUGCAAGUCAUAAGCUUGCGUUGAUUACGUCCCUGCCCUUUGUACACACCGCCCGUCGCUACUACCGAUUAAACGUUUUAGUGAGGUACUCGGACUGAGCCUCAGAAGAUUCACGUCUUUUGUGCUGCUCGGGAAGAUUCCCAAACUUGAGCGUUUAGAGGAAGUAAAAGUCGUAACA
rnacentral:rRNA from 1 species